UAAAGGUUUCGUAGCCGGUUUGGUCAGUCUCCGGGAAAUUGACGGCUUAACCGUUAGGCUUUCGGAGGAUACUGCCACGCUGGAACCGGGAGAGGUAAGAGUACUACAGGGGUAGGAGUGAAUCUUGUAAUCCCUGUGGGACCACCUGUGGCGAAGGCGUUUUACCAGAACGGGUUCGACGGUGAGGGACGAAAGCUGGGGCACGAACCGGAUUAGAUACCCGGGUAGUCCCAGCCGUAAACGAUGCUCGCUAGGUGUCAGGCAUGGCGCGACCGUGUCUGGUGCCGCAGGGAAGCCGUGAAGCGAGCCACCUGGGAAGUACGGCCGCAAGGCUGAAACUUAAAGGAAUUGGCGGGGGAGCACAACAACGGGUGGAGCCUGCGGUUUAAUUGGACUCAACGCCGGACAACUCACCGGGGGCGACAGCAAUAUGUAGGCCAAGCUGAAGACUUUGCCUGAAUCGCUGAGAGGAGGUGCAUGGCCGUCGCCAGUUCGUACUGUGAAGCAUCCUGUUGAGUCAGGCAACGAGCGAGACCCGUGCCCACUGUUACCAGCAUGUCCUCCGGGACGAUGGGUACACUGUGGGGACCGCCGGUGUUAAAUCGGAGGAAGGUGCGGGCCACGGUAGGUCAGUAUGCCCCGAAUCUCCCGGGCUACACGCGGGCUACAAUGGAUGGGACAAUGGGUCCCUCCCCUGAAAAGGGCUGGCAAUCUCACAAACCCAUCCUUAGUUCGGAUCGAGGGCUGUAACUCGCCCUCGUGAAGCUGGAAUCCGUAGUAAUCGCGUUUCAAUAUAGCGCGGUGAAUACGUCCCUGCUCCUUGCACACACCGCCCGUCAAACCACCCGAGUGAGGUAUGGGUGAGGGCACGGACACUGUGCCGUGUUCGAACCUGAAUUUUGCAAGGGGGGUUAAGUCGUAACAAGGUAGCC
rnacentral:rRNA from 1 species